rnacentral:rRNA from 1 species
GACGAACGCUGGCGGCGCGCCUAACACAUGCAAGUCGAACGGAGCUGCGAGAAGCUUGCUUUUCUUAGCUUAGUGGCGCACGGGUGAGUAACGCGUGAGUAACCUGCCCUGGAGUGGGGGACAACAGUUGGAAACGACUGCUAAUACCGCAUAAGCCCACGAUCCGGCAUCGGAUUGAGGGAAAAGGAUUUAUUCGCUUCAGGAUGGACUCGCGUCCAAUUAGCUAGUUGGUGAGGUAACGGCCCACCAAGGCGACGAUUGCUAGCCGGACUGAGAGGUUGAACGGCCACAUUGGGACUGAGACACGGCCCAGACCCCUACGGGAGGCAGCAGUGGGGGAUAUUGCACAAUGGGGGAAACCCUGAUGCAGCGACGCCGCGUGGAGGAAGAAGGUUUUCGGAUUGUAAACUCCUGUCGUUAGGGACGAUAAUGACGGUACCUAACAAGAAAGCACCGGCUAACUACGUG